UUGUUACUCAGAGUUUCAUGCCUGAGUUUACAGACAAUCUUCGGACAACUAAAGUUCUGUUGACAGAACUUUAGUUGUCCGAAGAUUGUCUGUAAACUCAGGCAUGAAACUCUGAGUAACAA
rnacentral:miRNA from 1 species